AUAAAAUUAUUAUUUUAUUUUAGUUAAUAUUUUUGUUAUCAUUUUAUUUUACAUGUAAAUUUUUGUAUGAAUUAAAUUAAUUUUUAAAAAAUUAAAUUUAUAAAUAUUUAUUCGCAGUAAUUAAUAUUAUAAUUAAAAAAGAAAUUUUGUAUUAGUAAUAAUAUAUAGUAUUGGUAAAAUUUGUGCCAGCUACCGCGGUUAUACAAAUAAUACAAAUAAAAAUUUUUAGUAUUAGUUAAAUGAUUAAAUUUAUAAUAUAAAUUUAAAUUUAUUAGGUGAAAUUUUUAAAUUUAUUUAUUUAUUAUUAUUAAAAAUAAUUUAAGCUAUAAACUUUUUAUAAUAAACUAGGAUAGAUACCCUAUUAUUAAAAAUAAAUAUUUAAAUGCUAAAGUAGUAUUAGUUAUAUUCUUAAAAUUUAAAAAAUUUGGCGGUGUUUUAGUCUAUUUAGAGGAAUCUGUUCUGUAAUUGAUAAUUCACAUUGAACCUUACUUAAAUUUGUUUAAUUUGUAUAUCGCCGUCAUCAGAAUAUGUUAUAAGAUAAAAAUUUUCUAAAAAUUUAAUUUAAUAAAAUGUCAGGUCAAGGUGCAGUUUAUAUUUAAGUAGAAAUGGAUUACAAUAAUUUUAUUUAAAUGGAUAAUUUUUUGAAAUAAAGAUUUGAAGGUGGAUUUAAUAGUAAUAUAAAAGAGAUUAUUUAUAUGAUUUUAGCUCUAAAACCUUGAUCCAUAUCGCCCAUCGGUCUUAUUUUUAAAAUAAGAUAAAGUUGUAACAUAAGUAGAUGUACCUGGAAAGGUGUAUCUAGAAAGA
rnacentral:ncRNA from 1 species